rnacentral:rRNA from 1 species
GACGAACGCUGUCGGCGUGCUUAACACAUGCAAGUCGAACGGAAAGGCCCUGCUUUUGUGGGGUGCUCGAGUGGCGAACGGGUGAGUAACACGUGAGUAACCUGCCCUUGACUUUGGGAUAACUUCAGGAAACUGGGGCUAAUACCGGAUAGGAGCUCCUGCUGCAUGGUGGGGGUUGGAAAGUUUCGGCGGUUGGGGAUGGACUCGCGGCUUAUCAGCUUGUUGGUGGGGUAGUGGCUUACCAAGGCUUUGACGGGUAGCCGGCCUGAGAGGGUGACCGGCCACAUUGGGACUGAGAUACGGCCCAGACUCCUACGGGAGGCAGCAGUGGGGAAUAUUGCACAAUGGGCGGAAGCCUGAUGCAGCAACGCCGCGUGCGGGAUGACGGCCUUCGGGUUGUAAACCGCUUUCGCCUGUGACGAAGCGUGAGUGACGGUAAUGGGUAAAGAAGCACCGGCUAACUACGUGCCAGCAGCCGCGGUGAUACGUAGGGUGCGAGCGUUGUCCGGAUUUAUUGGGCGUAAAGGGCUCGUAGGUGGUUGAUCGCGUCGGAAGUGUAAUCUUGGGGCUUAACCCUGAGCGUGCUUUCGAUACGGGUUGACUUGAGGAAGGUAGGGGAGAAUGGAAUUCCUGGUGGAGCGGUGGAAUGCGCAGAUAUCAGGAGGAACACCAGUGGCGAAGGCGGUUCUCUGGGCCUUUCCUGACGCUGAGGAGCGAAAGCGUGGGGAGCGAACAGGCUUAGAUACCCUGGUAGUCCACGCUGUAAACGGUGGGUACUAGGUGUGGGGUCCAUUCCACGGGUUCCGUGCCGUAGCUAACGCUUUAAGUACCCCGCCUGGGGAGUACGGCCGCAAGGCUAAAACUCAAAGGAAUUGACGGGGCCCCGCACAAGCGGCGGAGCAUGCGGAUUAAUUCGAUGCAACGCGUAGAACCUUACCUGGGUUUGACAUGGAUCGGGAGUGCUCAGAGAUGGGUGUGCCUCUUUUGGGGUCGGUUCACAGGUGGUGCAUGCCUGUCGUCAGCUCGUGUCGUGAGAUGUUGGGUUAAGUCCCGCAACGAGCGCAACCCUUGUUCACUGUUGCCAGCACGUUAUGGUGGGGACUCAGUGGAGACCGCCGGGGUUAACUCGGAGGAAGGUGGGGAUGACGUCAAGUCCUCAUGCCCCUUAUGUCCAGGGCUUCACGCAUGCUACAAUGGCUGGUACAGAGAGUGGCGAGCCUGUGAGGGUGAGCGAAUCUCGGAAAGCCGGUCUCAGUUCGGAUUGGGGUCUGCAACUCGACCUCAUGAAGUCGGAGUCGCUAGUAAUCGCAGAUCAGCAACGCUGCGGUGAAUACGUUCCCGGG